rnacentral:rRNA from 1 species
ACUUUAAUUGAAGAGUUUGAUCAUGGCUCAGAUUGAACGCUGGCGGCAGGCCUAACACAUGCAAGUCGAGCGGUAACAGAUUGAUAGCUUGCUAUCAAUGCUGACGAGCGGCGGACGGGUGAGUAAUGCCUGGGAAUAUACCCUGAUGUGGGG